rnacentral:lncRNA from 1 species
GAAAGGGGGUGGCAGCAGAAGGAGCUACUCCCCGGCCGCUGCACCAAGACCAGAGCAGCCCGUGAUCAUAGCUCUGAACCCGCCUCGUUCCAGGCUUCCUCCUCCGUUCCCUCCUCCUUCUGCACAGACACCCCCAGGGUCUCUCCGUAGAGCCUUUCGAGAGCUCACGGUGGCCCGGGGCGCCGCGCCCUGACCCGCGCUCUAGGGUCGUGGAGGACGGCGCCCCAUCUGGGGAGACUGCGGUGCUAAGCCUCGAGUACCCCCAGGGACGCUGAGGAACAGAGAAACGCGAGCCAGAGCAACACCCGCCCCCCAGGAGCUGGGAACAAAGACCCCUUUGUUCCAGCUCUGUCCCUCUCCCGGGAGACCAGAGUCCCGUGGGUGUGGUGUCGUGGAGAGGAGGAGACAGGUCACCGCAGAUUCUCAAGGUUCCUUUGGCUUAAAUAUACAUGAUUUGUAUUCAAGAUAAACUUUUAAAAGAAGAUUCAUAGUAUGUCUUGAAAAUUAUAUCUGGUCUGGGAAGAGAGCUCAGCAAAUAUUACACUUUCUGUGUGCAAUGACACUAUUAAAAAGUAUGUCCUUGUUGGAACAGGUGUGACCUUGUUGGAGGAAGUGUGUCACUGUGGGGGUGGCCUUCAAGGUCCUAUGCUCAAGUUUCACACAGUGCAGAAGAGACAUUCUCCUUCUGGUUGCCUUCAGAUCAAUAUGCAGAAUUUCCAGCUCCUUCUCCAGCAAUACAUCUGCCUGGAUGCUACCAUGCUUCCUGCCAUGAUAAUAGUGGACAGAACCUCUGAAACUGUAAGCCAGCUCCAAUUAAAUGUUUUCCUGUGUAAGAGUUACCUUGGUCAUGGUGCUUCUCCACAGCAAUAAAACCUUAAGACACUG